rnacentral:rRNA from 1 species
AUUGAACGCUGGCGGCAUGCCUUACACAUGCAAGUCGAACGGCAGCACGGGAGCAAUCCUGGUGGCGAGUGGCGAACGGGUGAGUAAUAUAUCGGAACGUGCCCAGUCGUGGGGGAUAACGUAGCGAAAGCUACGCUAAUACCGCAUACGAUCUAUGGAUGAAAGCGGGGGAUCGCAAGACCUCGCGCGAUUGGAGCGGCCGAUAUCAGAUUAGGUAGUUGGUGAGGUAAAGGGCUCACCAAGCCGACGAUCUGUAGCUGGUCUGAGAGGACGACCAGCCACACUGGGACUGAGACACGGCCCAGACUCCUACGGGAGGCAGCAGUGGGGGAAUUUUUGGGACAAUGGGCGCAAGCCUGAUCCAGUAAUGCCGCGUGCA